rnacentral:sRNA from 1 species
UAUUUCCAAGUCUUUUAUCGUCAUUCUCCAUUUUACAGAAGUGGAUUUGGAUUUAAACUGGUUGAGUUAUUCGCAGUUUUGUGGUUACACGUUUUCUCAGACGUGAGUUAGAACCCAACGGAGAUUGUAACUGGGAACAUGGUCUUGUCUGGUUUCUGAUCGUCACGAUAUUUUUUGGGAAGCUUCGUGACGUCUAAAGGUAGCUUUCUACCAGAGGGAUUUGAUAGUUAACGGUUGGUUUUUAAUUUAGGGUUUCGUCUUUGAGACUGUUUGUUUUUGGUUUUUAUGUCCAGUUUGCUUCAAGGUUGCUUAUGGUUGUGUGACUUGUUGUAGGACGUUUCUAAACUGUUUCAAACGCAAGGAGAGUCUCUCCUGGUUAUAAUUGUUGUUAGACGUGACUAUGAGUUUAUCUGAGCGAUUUGUUUUGUGUGAUGAUAUGUAGGUUGGGUCUGUGUUUUUGGGUGAACUGUUCAAUGACUGGUCUGUUAUGUUUGAUUUGUGGUUAUACUCUUCAUUUGUUUGUGUGUAUAGCUCGUAGAUGGGAGGAUCGCCUCACUAAGUAUUUAUGAUAAAACUUACGCAUUUUUUUCUUUAUGGUGCAGGUAAAGAUAAAGUGUGAUCGUGGAAUCAUGGCAGGUAAAGAUAAACUCUUCAUUUGUUUGGUUUGUUUUUGUGUUUUGGUUAUUGGAACCCUGUUAGGAUUGUUAGUCAUUCUUGGUUAUGUUGGUCGAAUUAUUUAUUUAUUCAUAAAAUAGUAUUUUUGAUUUGCGGUUUCAAUGUUGCUUUAUUGGUUGGUUUAAUUAAGUAUUUAUGAGAAUAUUUAAUUAUGAUUUUAGGAAAAAAAAACGGGUUGGGUUGUUUCAAGUCUCCACAGUGUUUUGCUCUCAAGAACAAAGUAAAAAUAAAGAAU